rnacentral:rRNA from 1 species
CUAGGAAUCUUGGGAAUGGGCGAAAGCCUGACCCAGCAACGCCGCGUGGGCGAUGAAGGCCUUCGGGUCGUAAAGCCCUUUUGUGGGGGAAGAUGAUGACGGUACCCCGCGAAUAAGCCACGGCUAACUACGUGCCAGCAGCCGCGGUAAUACGUAGGUGGCAAGCGUUGUCCGGAUUUACUGGGCGUAAAGGGCGUGCAGGCGGUCUGUUAAGUCUAGGGUGAAAGCUCCCGGCUCAACUGGGAGAGGUCCUUGGAUACUGGCGGACUUGAGGGAGGCAGAGGAAAGUGGAAUUCCCGGUGUAGUGGUGAUAUGCGUAGAUAUCGGGAGGAACACCAGUGGCGAAGGCGGCUUUCUGGGCCUUACCUGACGCUGAGACGCGAAAGCGUGGGGAGCGAACCGGAUUAGAUACCCGCGUAGUCC